CAGCGAAACCCGCCCGGCCAUGGGUCGGGCGCGGUCGGCCGGGCGUGGUGGCCCGGUCCUGAUGAGCAGCCGAGG
rnacentral:hammerhead_ribozyme from 1 species